rnacentral:misc_RNA from 1 species
AAGUCGUAACAAGGUUUCCGUAGGUGAACCUGCGGAAGGAUCAUUAACAAAUCUGCUAUGCGGCCGAGCCUUCGGGCUUGACGCAUAUAUUUACCCCGAGCCUGGCAGCAAUGCCGGCUUUGGUUGGGUGGGACGCGAGUCCUGCUCCGGUUGUGUGAGGGCGCAAGCCCUUGCCAGCCACAUAGACGCUUGUAUGUUUGACAGAGUUACACAGUUGUAAAACUAAAAUGACAACUUUUAACAAUGGAUCUCUUGGCUCUU